rnacentral:rRNA from 1 species
UACGGAGGGUGCAAGCGUUAAUCGGAAUUACUGGGCGUAAAGCGUGCGUAGGUGGUUCGUUAAGUCCGUUGUGAAAGCCCCGAGCUCAACUUGGGAAUUGCAGUGGAUACUGGCGAGCUGGAGUGCGGUAGAGGAAGGUGGAAUUCCCGGUGUAGCGGUGAAAUGCGUAGAUAUCAGGAGGAACACCGGUGGCGAAGGCGCACAUCUGGCCCGAUACUGACGCUGAGGCGCGAAAGCUAGGGGAGCAAACGGG